rnacentral:lncRNA from 1 species
UUAGUAAUCAUUACCAGGAAACAUAAGCAUGAAUGUCAAAGUUGCCCAGCAGGAAGUGUCAGUCUUCUCGCCCAUCACCGGCCCAUCACGUCGACCAUCCACGCUUACAGGUUGCUGCUUGUCUGUACAAUCUUCCCUUCUUGUUGUCUCUUCCAGCUCUCCAUUCAUUUGCUCUGGGUGCCCUGUGGGCAGGGUGGCUGCUGCCUAACAUGCCUGGGAAACAACUAUAGCAACAAGGGACAUUCCCACAACCAAUACAUCCUGCUAUUAAUGAACAAUUACAAUUGGGAGGACCUGGGAGCACUUCCUAGCGGUGAGACCCUGGGUAAGUCACUUAACCCUACUUGCCUAGCCAUUCUGUCCUGGAACCAGUACACAGUCUUGAUUCUUAGAUGAGUGGUAAGGGUUUUUUUUUUUUUUUAAUGAUGUUCAAAGUAGAAAAUACUCUACAAUACCUACUAUCAAUUCUAAGACACAAGAUCAGGAUUUUUUUUUGUCAAUCACCCUAGCUUACAUUUAUACAUAAGCUGGAACCUGUCUGGGUCUGCUCUGCUCUCUACUUACAAAAUCCUGCUCAUGAAGCCCCUGAUCUCAACUAAAUGUGUCACAUCAGAG